GAGCAGUCUGUCCCUCCUGGCUCAUCUGGGGCAAUAUGACAGCAAAUGGGGCUAGAACAAAACUGGGUGAAAGGAGAAACUCUGGGGCUGCUGAAGUCACAUGCCGAUGGUGCUGAGGAAAGAGAAGACUGAUGUCAACUUUUGUCUCAUAAUGCGUGAAUCUAUGAGCUUCUCUCAGAAAAUGGUUGUCUGCCAAUGCUAACUGGCCAGCUCUGACAGGAGGUGCUUGGCCCAGGAGGAGUCAUCAGGCCAGUUCUCUGGGCUACUGCUGUGUCUCCAGCUCUGCAGUUUGCUCUGCAUCACUCAGCGGCAGACGGAGAGGCUGCUGCAAGUCCCCUGUGAG